rnacentral:misc_RNA from 1 species
UUUCCGUAGGUGAACCUGCGGAAGGAUCAUUAUUGUGUAACCGAGGUGCGAGGCCUGUCGCUGACCCGAAAGGUCGUGCACGCCCGAGUGCCCUCACACACAUCCAUCUUACCCCUAUUUGCACCACACCGUUGGUUCUCAUUUGGCUUGUUCGGAGGGGGGCUUCCGUUUUCACACAAACUUAUUAUACCGUGUAGCAUGUAUUUUUUGUGUUUGCGCACCCGUAAUCAACACAACUUUUAACAACGGAACACUUGGCUCCUCCAGCGAUGAAGAACG